rnacentral:rRNA from 1 species
GACGAACGCUGGCGGCGUGCUUAACACAUGCAAGUCGAACGGGGUCCAUCCCUUCGGGGAGAAGACCUAGUGGCGAACGGGCGAGUAACGCGUGGGCAAUCUGCCCUAGAGUUUGGGAUAACUCCUCGAAAGAGGGGCUAAUACCGAAUAUCUUCACAGUCACGCAGGUGAUUGGGAAGAAAGCCUUCGGGCGCUUUAGGAUGGGCCCGCGUUCCAUUAGCUUGUUGGUAGGGUAACGGCCUACCAAGGCUGUGAUGGAUAGCCGGCCUGAGAGGGUGAACGGCCACACUGGGACUGAGAUACGGCCCAGACUCCUACGGGAGGCAGCAGUGGGGAAUAUUGCGCAAUGGGCGAAAGCCUGACGCAGCAACGCCGUGUGGACGAUGAAGGCCUUCGGGUCGUAAAGUCCUGUCACAGGGGACGAAGCCUCGACUUGUCGAGGUGACGGUACCCUGAGAGGAAGCCCCGGCUAACUACGUGCCAGCAGCCGCCGUAA